rnacentral:rRNA from 1 species
CAGCCGCCGCGGUAAUACGAAGGGUGCAAGCGUUAAUCGGAAUUACUGGGCGUAAAGCGUGCGUAGGCGGUUUGUUAAGUCUGCUGUGAAAUCCCCGGGCUCAACCUGGGAAUGGCAGUGGAUACUGGCAAGCUAGAGUGUGUCAGAGGAUGGUGGAAUUCCCGGUGUAGCGGUGAAAUGCGUAGAGAUCGGGAGGAACAUCAGUGGCGAAGGCGACCACCUGGACUAAUACUGACACUGAGGUGCGAAAGCGUGGGGAGCAAACAGGAUUAGAUACCCCCGUAGUCCCUGUCUCUUAUAC